AGAGUUUGAUCAUGGCUCAGGACGAACGCUGGCGGCGUGCCUAAUACAUGCAAGUUGAACGAUGAUUUCUGGUACUUGUAUCAGAAUGAAGAGUAGCGAACGGGUGAGUAACGCGUGGGUAACCUACCUCUUAGCGGGGGACAACUAUUGGAAACGAUAGCUAAUACCGCAUAACAAUAUUAAACACAUGUUUAAUAUUUGAAAGUACCAAUUGGUACACUAGGAGAUGGACCCGCGUUGUAUUAGCUAGUUGGUAGUGUAAUGGACUACCAAGGCGAUGAUACAUAGCCGACCUGAGAGGGUGAUCGGCCACAUUGGGACUGAGACACGGCCCAAACUCCUACGGGAGGCAGCAGUAGGGAAUCUUCGGCAAUGGACGAAAGUCUGACCGAGCAACGCCGCGUGAGUGAAGGAGGUUUUCGGAUCGUAAAACUCUGUUGUUAGAGAAGAACGUUGUGUAGAGUGGAAAAUUACACAAGUGACGGUAUCUAACCAGAAAGGGACGGCUAACUACGUGCCAGCAGCCGCGGUAAUACGUAGGUCCCGAGCGUUGUCCGGAUUUAUUGGGCGUAAAGCGAGCGCAGGUGGUUUAAUAAGUCUGAUGUAAAAGGCAGUGGCUCAACCAUUGUGUGCAUUGGAAACUGUUAGACUUGAGUGCAGUAGAGGAGAGUGGAAUUCCAUGUGUAGCGGUGAAAUGCGUAGAUAUAUGGAGGAACACCGGUGGCGAAAGCGGCUCUCUGGACUGUAACUGACACUGAGGCUCGAAAGCGUGGGUAGCAAACAGGAUUAGAUACCCUGGUAGUCCACGCCGUAAACGAUGAGUGCUAGUUGUUUGGGGCUAUCCAGCCCUAAGU
rnacentral:rRNA from 1 species